GACUUAGGCCUCUCCGGGCCUGGGCAUAUCAGCAAGCUGAGCUCAUCAUCAUUCUGACUUCCUGACUAUGCCGUCUGGGAAGUUGCCCUCUCCCGUGCCUCCCAAGACAACCUAGAAAAGAUAAAAACCUAAAAGCAGGAAGUCCGAAGCCAUUGCUCAGUUCUCCCUGCUUGCAGCAAGGUGCCAGCCUGAACCACAGAGCCAAGCCUCCAGGCAGCUGCAAUGAACUGGAGAGGUGCUGGCCCCACUUGGCCUUCCUGGGAAAGCGAUGUGUGACGGCAGUCUCCCAGCUGAGCCUGCCUGCCGCACAGCCCAGAACCUGGACUUGAAUCCCAGUUUGCACCGCAUUCUAGCUGUGGGAUUUGGGGCACGUUACUCGGCCUCUCAGAGCACACAAGCUUCACGGGAGCCGCUCCUCAGCCUCUUGCUGUAGAAGCCAUAGUCAGCAAGCCACUCGACCAGAAGAGUUCAGAAGAGGUGUUGGAGCUGGUGGGGACGGGGUGAGCCAGACCUGUGGACCCACCCUCCAGCACGCAGCCUUUGAGGCAGAGGUCAGCUUCCCUCUCCACCGGGUC